GCACCCGUAACUCAGCCGGCCAGAGUCUCGCGCCGCCAGCGCGAAGGUCGCGGGUUCGAUUCCCGCCGGGUGCU
rnacentral:tRNA from 1 species